rnacentral:tRNA from 1 species
GCCGAGGUAGCUCAGCCUGAUCCUUGGACGAGGAGGCUCUGGAGAGCGCCCGGCUGAAGAUCGGCCCAUUCGCAGGUUCAAAUCCUGCCCUCGGCACCA